rnacentral:hammerhead_ribozyme from 1 species
AUUCAACUGACGAGUCCCGAAUAGGACGAAAUGCGCUUUAUCCUGGAU